rnacentral:rRNA from 1 species
GACGAACGCUGGCGGCGUGCUUAACACAUGCAAGUCGAACGGAAAGGCCCUGCUUUUGUGGGGUGCUCGAGGGGCGAACGGGUGAGUAACACGUGAGUAACCUGCCCUUGACUUUGGGAUAACUUCAGGAAACUGGGGCUAAUACCGGAUAGGAGCUCCUGCUGCAGGGGGGGGGUUGGAAAGUUUCGGCGGUUGGGGAUGGACUCGCGGCUUAUCAGCUUGUUGGUGGGGUAGUGGCUUACCAAGGCUUUGGCGGGUAGCCGGCCUGAGAGGGUGACCGGCCACAUUGGGACUGAGAUACGGCCCAGACUCCUACGGGAGGCAGCAGUGGGGAAUAUUGCACAAUGGGCGGAAGCCUGAUGCAGCAACGCCGCGUGCGGGAUGACGGCCUUCGGGUUGUAAACCGCUUUCGCCUGUGACGAAGCGUGAGUGACGGUAAUGGGUAAAGAAGCACCGGCUAACUACGUG